rfam:Aspergillus bombycis strain NRRL26010 contig00006, whole genome shotgun sequence.
GGUAAGGUGGCCGAGUGGUUAAGGCGUUGGAUUUAAGUCCCAAUGACGCAAGUCGCGCGAGUUCGAUCCUCGCCCUUACCA